GUGUCAGCAGCCGCGGUAAUACGGAGGGAGCUAGCGUUGUUCGGAAUUACUGGGCGUAAAGCGUACGUAGGCGGUUAUUCAAGUCAGAGGUGAAAGCCCGGGGCUCAACCCCGGAACUGCCUUUGAAACUAGAUAGCUAGAGUCUUGGAGAGGUUAGUGGAAUUCCGAGUGUAGAGGUGAAAUUCGUAGAUAUUCGGAAGAACACCAGUGGCGAAGGCGACUAACUGGACAAGUACUGACGCUGAGGUACGAAAGCGUGGGGAGCAAACAGGAUUAGAUACCCUGGUAGUCCACGCCGUAAACGAUGAUAACUAGCUGUCCGGACACUUGGUGUUUGGGUGGCGCAGCUAACGCAUUAAGUUAUCCGCCUGGGGAGUACGGUCGCAAGAUUAAAACUCAAAUGAAUUGACGG
rnacentral:rRNA from 1 species